GUGGGGAAUAUUCCGCAAUGGACGAAAGUCUGACGGAGCAACGCCGCGUGAGUGAUGAAGGUUUUCGGACUGUAAAGCUCUGUUGUUUAGGACGAAAGUGCCUGUUGCAAACAGUUACAGGUAUUGACGGUACUAAACGAGGAAGCCACGGCUAACUACGUGCCAGCAGCCGCGGUAAUACGUAGGUGGCAAGCGUUGUCCGGAAUUAUUGGGCGUAAAGAGCAUGUAGGCGGGAAUCUAAGUCUGUUGUGAAAAUGCGGGGCUCAACCCGGUAUUGAGAUGGAAACUGGGUGUCUUGAGUGCAGGAGGGGAAAGGGGAAUUCCCAGUGUAGCGGUGAAAUGCGUAGAUAUUGGGAGGAACACCGGUGGCGAAGGCGCCUUGCUGGACUGUGUCUGACGCUGAGAUGCGAAAGCCAGGGUAGCGAACGGGAUUAGAAACCCCAGUAGUCC
rnacentral:rRNA from 1 species